GAGUGCAACAAAACUACAGUUCCCAUGAUGCAACGACAGCGCUUUAUUUAUAGGACCCGGAAGAGGUGUGCAGUUGGCGUUGUUUUGUUCAGUGAAAUUUAGCGACCUAUAUAGACAGAGCAGAUAUAGACGAGGUUAUGGCGUCUUCUCCUAAAGUAAAGAGAACCACUAAAACUAGAGAUGAGAAAGCUGCACAAAAUCUUCCCAGAUCCCAGAAGGAUGCAUAUGCCAGACUUCUGAAUCAGCAUCAGAAUGGCAAGUUUCGUUCUUACUUGCAAGAGUUUGCAAAGCAGCAGGUGGAGGAGAACAUGAGGACCUCAGUUAGCAGGUCUGUGAAUGAUAUAAAUAGGAGAAAAAAAGGCAAUUCAGAAUCAUCUAAUUCUGGUGAUAGCUUAUCCUCUCAGCAGAGUAGACAAAUGGCUGACACUUCUAACUAUUUGCACACGGACAAAAAAAUCCAUCAGGCAGCUUGCACUGAAGUCCAGGGCAUGAAGCCUGGCAUGCUGGAAAAGCAUGCCAAAACGGAGUUACAUAAUGCUGCUGCACCCAAAAAGGUACCCUCAAAACAGGAGAGAAGUGAAAAAGACAUCAAAGGGAGCAAAAGUCUAGUGGGAUCUGAGGAAGGUGACGCUCAACAGUUGAGCGGUUCAUGUGGGGAGGAAAAAGCAAAGAAAAAAUCAAAGAAGAGGAGAUCAAAAAAAAAUGUGGAGAAAAAAGACAAGGGGGCAUGUGGUCCUGAAGUUGACACCAUUGUUGCUGGGAAGUCACCAAAUAAAAACAUCAAAGCUUCUCAAGUGUCAAAAGAAGGUUUACGUCAAAAUGACAAAGAUAAAAACACUAAAGACUGUAGAGGCUCCCGGAAGCAACUGUUCGAGCAGUACAUGUCCACUGAGGAUGUUUCUGCAGGCCUAAAGAGAGGAGAACUCAUUCAGGGAUUACUGAGAAUAAACCCUAAGAAGUACAAGGAAGCUUUUGUCCCAUCUCCUGAUGGGUCAGCCGAUAUCUUUCUGGAUGGGAUUGCAGCUCGUAACAGGGCUCUCAAUGGAGAUGUUGUUGUGGUGAAAGUUCUCCCCCCUGAACAGUGGAAGGCACUCAAUGGAGAUAUAAAUGAGAGAACUCUAGCCAGUCAGAAUGUGCCAAAGGCUGAUGUCAUAGUUGAGGCCCAUUACAAUGAAGAUGAUGAGGUGAUCAGUAAAAUGAAGAGUGCCAGUCUCCAUGAUAAAGCCCCUAUCACAACACAUUCUGUCAAACAAGCAAAUGCAUGCUACACUUCUGGAUCAAGUUCAGAGAGAGCUAUGCAAAGGACUGGAAAGGUUGUAUUCAUUGCUGAAAAGAAGCACUCAAGAGCAGCAUCAGGCUUCCUCAAAUUUUUCCCCAACAAGAAUUUUGCUAUGUUCUCUCCUGUGGACCAUCGGGUCCCGAGAGUUAAUGUGCCUCUAGCAGACUGUCCUGCAGACUUUACCUCCAGACCUGAAGACUAUGAAAACACACUCUUCAUCUGCCGAAUAACACAGUGGCCGGUAGACAACAACUUUGCUGAAGGGCGGCUUGCAAAAACAUUAGGGCAAGCAGGUGAAAUAGAGGCGGAAACAGAAGGCAUCCUGACUGAAUAUGAUGUUGACUUCUCAGAGUUUUCAGAGGAUGUCUUUAAUUGUCUUCCCCAAAAUCUGCCCUGGAGCAUUCCUGAUCAUGAGCUCUCUAAAAGAAGAGAUCUCAGAAAAGAAUGCAUAUUUACCAUCGACCCAGCUACAGCCAGAGAUCUGGAUGAUGCACUGUCCUGCAAACAACUCUCGGAUGGCAAUUUUGAAGUUGGUGUUCAUAUAGCUGAUGUGAGUUACUUCGUGGAGGAAGGAAAUGCCUUGGAUCAAAUUGCUGGCCAAAGAGCCACGAGUGUUUAUCUAGUCCAAAAGGUGAUCCCCAUGUUGCCUCGUCUUCUUUGUGAGGAGCUAUGCAGCUUGAAUUCUCUGACCGAUAGACUGACAUUCUCUGUCAUUUGGAAGCUUUCUCCAGAGGGAAAGAUCUUGAGUGAGUGGUUUGGCCGAACUGUCAUCUGUUCCUGCAUUCAGUUGAGUUAUGAUCAUGCUCAGAGUAUGAUUGAAGCUCCUGACAAGCACUUUAGUGCUGAAGAACUGCCAUCCUGCUCCCCAGACCACAGCAUCCAAGAGAUACAAGAGGCUGUCCUCAACUUGCACAAUAUUGCCAAACAACUCCGAGCCCAACGCUUUGAGUGUGGAGCUCUCCGGCUUGACCAGCUUAAGCUAUCUUUCACCCUCGAUAAGGAGUCCAGCAUGCCUCAGGGCUGUUAUAUCUAUCAGUAUCGGGACAGCAACAAACUGGUGGAGGAGUUCAUGUUGCUGGCAAACAUGGCGGUUGCCCAUCAGAUCUACCGCACAUACCCAGAGUUAGCCCUACUGCGGAGACAUCCGCCACCCCAGAGCAAGAUGGUGGAUGACCUGCAGGAGUUUUGUGAACAGAUGGGCCUUGACAUUGACUUCUCCUCAUCUGGAGCACUCCAUAGGAGUCUGAAUGAAAACUUUGGUGAUGACAAGUAUACGGCUGCCAGAAAAGAAGUUCUCACUCACAUGUGCUCCAGGCCAAUGCAGAUGGCAGUGUAUUUCUGUACUGGAGCUCUGAAGGAUGAGAAGUUCUUCUGUCAUUAUGCUCUGAAUGUGCCUCUCUACACACACUUCACUUCACCUAUACGACGCUAUGCUGAUGUCAUAGUGCACCGUCUACUGGCCGCCUCCAUUGACUGUGGGCCAUGUUUGAGUCUCUCAGGAGAGGAAGUACACAAACAGGCAUCCCACUGCAAUGACAGGAAGACUGCUUCAAAGAGAGUUCAAGAGUUGAGCUCUGAACUUUUCUUUGCUGUCUUUGUGAAGGAUUGUGGUCCUCUGGAUUCAGAGGCUAUGGUCAUGGGGGUUCUGGACCAGUCCUUUGAUGUGCUUGUGCUUCGCUACGGAGUGCAGAAACGAAUCUACUGUAAUGAGCAGACUGGGAGUGGCCUUGGGUGGCAACAUCCCCAGUGCAUUAUGGGUUUGGAAGUUUUCCAACCUAUUUGGAAAAAGGGAAGACGACAGCACCUUUUUGUUUUCUUUGUCAGUCAUUAGAGGGACUAAAGGCGGUCCACUUCAGUAAAGUGGGAAAGAGACCAAAGAUGAUGCUUUUUUGGGAAACAGAUGACCCAAGCAACGAGUCCAUACAACAGGAGAUCUCCAUCUUUACCCUGUUGAAUGUUCAGCUGAAGGCAGAUAGAGCUCCAAUGAAAUACAGUGCUGUGCUCAAGAGACCCUAAGCACUUGUUUAUUCUUAACCAAACAGAAGUAUCGAUAUUGGUGAAGGCUUCUCCUCUGCACCAGUAAACCAUGAACUCAGUUUUAUGUGAUUUUAUUGUUUUUUUUAGGAUUUUGUUCUGAAAUCUUUCAAAUGUACAUUUCUUUUAAUUUGAGAAUGUUCAAGUUGAAAUAUUUGAAAUAUUUUUGUUUUUGCCUCAGGAAGUGUUAAGUGAAGGUUUUGUGUUCAGGGAUUGUGCCAUAAGUUUAAGUAUCUCUAUUUUGAAACAAAAUGAAAUCCACCCUGAUUCAGAGAAUAGUUUCCAAAGUGAAUUUUAGUUACUUUUUGGUGUCAGUAUUGUAACACUUCCACCAUUGUGUGCUUUGUAACAUUUGGGCAUUAUUUUUGUUCUGCCUUAAACCUUUAAGUAUGUGCAGCCUUUGUUUGAGAGAUAAUCACUUCAGAAAUGCCGUUUGUCAACUUCAGAAGUUGCAGAUAUGUUAAUGACCCCCCCCCAAUGGGAAGCAUUGAGCCCUUAACAAAAAUAACAUUUUAAAAAGUGAUUUUUGGACUAUAUAUUAGCUUGGCUGAGAGAUUGCUUUGUUUUGUUGCAAAUACUGGAUCUGUUUCUAAGACAUUUGGGUGAAUCAUUUGUUAUCUAUUGAUAGAUCCUUUUUUAAUUAUUUUCGAGAAUUAAUUGUAAGGCAUCAAAACUUUUGGGACCGCUCCAUAAGAAAACAUCUGGCAGAAUUUUUUACUUAAUCACUCCAUUGCUGGUGUCUGAUGUAUGUAAAUGUAUUGCCCCAAAUACCCCAAACACUUGAAUGUUGUUUUACAUACACUGAACGUCUGUUUGACGUCUUUAGGAAAUGUUUUUAUGUGUAAUUUGUCUCUUUUAAUGCAUUUCAUUUAAUGUUUUCAUGUUUAUUUUUGCACAUGGAAUUUUAGUAAUUGUUUCAGAUAUAUCAACUAUUUACUUAUAAACUAUUGAUCUUGCCAACAAUGUCUUUUCUACUGUGUAGUGUGAUAUGCCAUCCUUGGGACCAGUAUAAAUUGCUAAAAUAGACAAGACUAUAUAACAUGUCAGAAAGACUAGAAAAAGGCAGCUGGGCUUAACUUCAUUUAAACAAUUAAGUUCAGUUGAAGAAGCUAUACAGUUAGCAAGAAAGCUGCCAUGUGAUAUGACAAAAAAAAAUAGCUUUUUGUUUAUUUUACAAGAACUGCUGUGUAAAUAAAGUGGGGAAAAGAGUUGUCCAGUUGUUGUAAGGUUGGAACCAAGCGUGCCACAUGAGUCCUGAAAAGUGAAGCCAAAGCGUCUCGAUCGCCCCCAGGUGGCUGGAUGCAGUAUAGGUCAUAAACCCCACCCUCUCCUUGUAAUGUUAUGAAACGUGAAAUUAAACAGUCAAAUUACUCAUCAUUGUUUUUUUUUUCCAAAGAUUUUGGAAAAAGGUUUCUGUCAUUUUAGGCAGUUUUUAUCACGCUGAUAUUAGUUAGUGUUCUAUCUUUAAAUUUAAGUUUGUUUUUGGUAAUUUAAUGCUAUAAAAACACGGGUUUUGACGUCAUGAUUGACAGCGAAGAUUGACAACUUCUCUGAGUGAAGUAGUCACUGAAGUACCAAUGGACUUUUUUCUGGAUCUUCAGGAGGAUAUUGGAGCUUUAACUUUAAUUUCUACAUUUCCAGAACUGUUUUUUUUUUUUUUUUUUUUUUUUUUCACACCGACAUAAUUAGUAGUUCUGCAGAAUUAACCAAUCCUGCGAGAGUGUGGGCGGGACCUUGAUACGAUGGCUCUACUUCGCGCUCACUACUGCGCAGACUCAGGCUCCAAGUUCACUAUGCGCAGAUUCGAGACUCAAGAUGUCAGCGCCAUAUUGGCACACUGGCGGCUUCACUUACUACAAUGGAAGAGAGUGAAGGUGCGUCGUCCAUCAUUUUUUACAGUCUAUGGUUGGAACACGCCAAUAUCCAUAUAUGAAAUGUCAAAGUUUUAAAUCUGCAUAUGGUGUUUAAUUAGAGACUUGUGUUGUAAGUACUCUGUUAGGGGUUAAAUUUGAUGUAAGUGCACAUUUGUUGUAACACUGGUCUAAAAAUGUAGUCCUAAAAUAUAUAAACAAUGUGAGUAGUGGGGAAAAAACCUGUGGUGUUUGGCAAAUGAAUGUGGUGAAGUGUGAUACUGACUGCGAAACUAAUAAAAACCACUUCCAAGUU